rnacentral:tRNA from 1 species
GCGCGCUUAGCUCAGCUGGCUAGAGCACAUCGUUCACACCGAUGGGGUCGGAGGUUCAAGUCCUCCAGUGCGCACCA